CUUCCUCUCGCCCGCUCCGAUCUCUUUGGUCACUCCGCGUGCGCGCGGCGAUUGGCUGCCUCGGUGGCGGUCUCACAGGCCCCGGGGAACUACGCGAGCGGAGUGGGCGCUUAAGGAUCCCGCGGCUCUUCAGUGUCGGCGGCGGAGGCAGCGGCGGCGGCGGUGGUGGUGGCAGUGACGGCAGUGACCACUGAGCAGUAGUUGCCCAAGAUGUCGAAUAUCAAAAUCUUCAGCGGGAGCUCCCACCAGGACUUAUCCCAGAAAAUAGCUGACCGCCUGGGCUUGGAGCUAGGCAAGGUGGUGACUAAGAAAUUCAGCAACCAGGAGACCUGUGUGGAAAUUGGGGAAAGCGUUCGUGGAGAGGAUGUCUACAUUGUUCAGAGCGGGUGUGGUGAGAUAAAUGACAAUCUAAUGGAGCUUUUGAUCAUGAUUAAUGCUUGCAAGAUUGCUUCAGCCAGCCGGGUGACUGCAGUCAUCCCAUGCUUCCCUUAUGCCCGCCAAGAUAAGAAGGAUAAGAGCCGGGCUCCCAUCUCAGCUAAGCUUGUUGCAAAUAUGCUAUCUGUAGCAGGUGCGGAUCAUAUUAUCACCAUGGAUCUACACGCAUCUCAGAUUCAGGGUUUCUUUGAUAUCCCGGUGGACAAUUUAUAUGCAGAGCCAGCUGUCCUAAAGUGGAUACGGGAGAAUAUAUCUGAGUGGAGAAACUGUACUAUUGUCUCACCUGACGCUGGUGGAGCCAAGAGAGUGACCUCCAUUGCAGACCGAUUGAAUGUGGAUUUUGCUUUGAUUCACAAGGAACGGAAGAAGGCCAAUGAAGUGGACCGCAUGGUACUAGUAGGAGAUGUGAAGGAUCGUGUGGCUAUACUUGUGGAUGACAUGGCUGACACUUGUGGUACAAUCUGUCAUGCUGCAGACAAACUUCUCUCAGCUGGAGCUACCAGAGUUUAUGCCAUCUUGACACAUGGAAUCUUUUCUGGCCCUGCUAUUUCUCGAAUCAACAAUGCUUGCUUUGAAGCAGUAGUAGUUACCAAUACCAUACCUCAAGAAGACAAGAUGAAACACUGCUCCAAAAUACAGGUGAUUGACAUCUCCAUGAUCCUUGCGGAAGCCAUCAGGAGAACCCACAAUGGAGAAUCUGUCUCCUACCUGUUCAGUCAUGUUCCUUUAUAAUACAGUAAUUGUUGAAGCAUUUUGAAAAUAAAACCAAUCCCACCCCUUGUUUUUCUUGGUAUUGGUGAGUUCAGCAGAAUACUCAGCUUGCUUCAGUAUAUCUUUUUAUAUCUCACAUUAGCUAUAUUAGAAUUUAUCCUAAACUGGAGAAAGCCAGAUUGCUAUUAACUGCUAGGAUGCCCUACCUGCAUUGUUGCAUCCUGGCUUUCUUGUUUAACUUUGUGAGCCUUGAAGCUUUCAGUUGAGCUCACCUGUUGAAAGAUGUAUAUACUAUUAAGAGAGUAUUCCACAAGGUCCUUAGGACAUUAUUGACAAAGCUCAUACUCCAUUGCAUGUGAAUACUUUGGGGUUUUCUUCAUUCAGAAUAACUAGCAACAAAGCUAGCCCAUGUGUAAUACAUUUUCAGAGGUCUUCAGCAAGGUCCCUGAGCAUCCUUAAACAUAGUUCAGCUGUUGAGCACCCUGUAAGGCAGGGACAGGUGGCUCAAUGCAGUAAUUAACUUUUAGAAGGAAGAAGCCUGAUCCAUUGCCAUCUGUUUAACUGUAUAGCUUGGAUUCUCUACACCUGUUCCUUUCCAGUUGGCUUUACCUUUAGCUAUCUUGACCCUUUCCUGGCCAGUGGACUCAGUGAUCAUUGUAACAAAGUCUUGUGUAAGACAGACUUGCUUCUUGCUGUGUAACUGCUAACAUUUCACACUAGGUAAUCUUCCUUAGCCUACUACCUCUGAAGCGGUGGGUUCAGGUGGUGUCGUAGUGCCUUCUGACUAUUUUAAGUAUUUAACAUUCAUCUUCCUUGGAUCUGCUUGUCCUCUCAACUGAACAUAUUUCUGCUAAACAAUUAGAUUUUAUCUUGUGUAGAAGAAAGUUAAUAAAUGUCUGUUAUGUGUGCAAAAAAAAAAAAAAAGAAAGAUUCUGUGGUUUGUUUGCUUGUUUUGUCACUGUUAGAGUAAUACCCAAGAAAAACAAAGAUUUCUUUUGACUUCAUUGUUUCAGGCUCCAUUCCUGGAUGGAGAUAAAACUUUGUGGUUAGAGAGCAUGAUAGUGCAAGCACAGCUGCUUAAGUCUGCGGAGAGCAUGACCCUUUCAAAGGCCGACCUAAGUGACCCAUUCUCAGUUCAAGCCUUUCCUCUAAGAGUCCUCAAGAUUCAUUUCACCUUUAGAGCUGAUUAUGGGACAACUAAGCCCGUAGUACAUUUGCCUUCAGGGGAAAUUUUAGAUUCAAACCCUGACAGUAUUCUAAAGCCAAAUGGACAGUAAAGUUCCUAGCAAUUUUUAUACAGAAGCUAUUACCGUAGGGAGGAAGAGCAAAUGUAGAGUCAGGCUCUAUUUCAGAUAAAUCAAGGACAAGGAAAGUUAUUGGUUAGGAGUCGGGUCAGAGUCACUGGAUGAAAAUAUCCAUGUACAGGGAAUUUGUGGUUAAACCCACUGACUACCAUCAAGGCAAACCAGGGGUUAUGAGAUUUUCAAGAUUUGAGAGUCAACUGUAAGUAAGAUUCUGGUUAAAGCUGAGCUAUGCAGAAACAAACACAAGGCUGAAGAUUGAAGCCUAAUUAAGUAGAUGAUUCUAAGAUAAAGUUCGGUCUUUAUAGUUCAUAGUAUUAGCUUUUCAAUAACUUGACUCAUCUGAGUCUUACUCUCCUGUUUUCUAAGAGUUAUGGGGAAGCGCCCAGCUACAGUUAUGUCCUUGUUUGUCCUCUGAGUUAUGCAUUUUCAAAUAUUCGUGAUUUUAUUCAUUCCUUUGGGUCUGCAUGUGUGUUCAUGCACACACCCGUGUGUUAGGUGUCUUCCUUUAUUGCUCUCUAUUCUUUGGUAGCAGGGUUCUUCCCUGACCCUAGGCCUCUUGUUUGCUCAGCUAGGUGCAGGUCAACAAAACUAAACUGUCUUCUUUUCUCCAUCCACGAGACAAGAAGGCUUGGGUCUGCAUGCUCCAGGAUGCUCCACUUUAUGUGGAUGCUGGAAUCCACACUCUGGUCCUCAUGAUUGCUCAGCAGGUGCCCUUAACUACUGAGCUGCCUUUCCAGCCUCUUUUCACCAGAAGUGUUUCAUGUUUAUAAGUUACAACCUUUCAUAUUAGUAUUGUUUAUGUCUGGGGAGUGGGUUUAAUGCUUUUAUAUACUUUCUUAGAUUUAGUAGUAUUUUUUUUUCAUUUUACUUUGUCUUGGUUAGGUUUAUAUCCUUUUCCUACUGUGUCGAAUUAUUCAUAUCAUUUAAAAAUGGUAAUUUGUGGACUGUUUUCAUCUUUGUGUUUUGUUAUUGCUUAUAUAUUAGUGUUCGUGAAGCACAAAUAUCUAAAUACUCAUCACAUAACUGAAAACAUUUUUGUAUUAUCUUACUUUCUUAGGUAUAAUUUAGAUGGUAAUUUUUUUUAAGAUUUAUUUAUUUCUUAUAUGUAAGUACACUGUUGCUGUCUUUACACACCCCAGAAGAGAGCGUCAGAUCGCAUUACAGAUGGUUGUGACCCCCAUAUGGUUGCUGGGAUUUGAACUCAGGACCUUUGGAAGAGGAGUCAGUACUCUUAACCUCCAAGCCAUCUCUCCAGCCCCUGGAUUGUAAUUUCUUAAAAAUAAUCAAAUUGGUGUUAGAAUGGUGUUUUUCAUUGUCUCAAUUGUACAUAUAAUCUAAAUUAAAUUUCUUUUAAAUUAUUUUUUCUGAUAAAUUUUAAACUAGCAUAUCUUGAAACUGAUUGGUAUUUCAAUACUUUUAUCAUCUUCAGAAUUUAAUGUAAAUUUAAGCUACUUUCAUAAUUUAUGUCAAAAAGCUUAUUGCUAUCCUGCAGAUAUUGUGUGUUAUACCUUACAACAUUCCAAAGCAGAACAUUUUAUUCACUGGCAUGAGCUGACACGGAGGACAGGAUUAUUGUAAUUCAUUUGGGUAAAUGAAUUGAAGUUUUGGAGUUAAUGUACAAAGUAUUCUGUCAGUUUUUACUAUUCUGUAAUGAUAAAAUCUGGGGUUAGAAUUUCAGCAUCUUAAUUUCUAUUGUCCUUAUUCCAUUCUGAUUAUUAAUUUGAACUUCUUUUCAGUUAAAGUCCAUAUAUUAUCUUUAAUGGGCUAUGUUUUGUUUGCUAGUCAUUUAGAAUUACAAUCAUAUUUAAACUAUGUCAUCAUGCUAAUUACUAAUUACUUUUUUUUGGCAAGCUCAUAGUCUACCUGUAAAUAUAUAUUAAACAGUGGAGAAAUUAUUUUUGUCUUUGAAGGUUUGAAUAGAUUUUUCUCUUAAAAUAUAUUUGUAAUUAAAUAAAUAUUUUUGGAAAAUCAAGAGAAUGUAUCAUGUAACUAUUAGUGACAAGAAAUUUUAGGCUACUCUUUAACAUAUCACAUUUAUUAUUAGUGGUACUUUUAAAACUUGCCAAAAGGUUUUAUACUAAUGCUUAGAAUGGAAAGCUAAGCUAUUGCCAUAUACAGUGGACUAUUAAACACUAAAGUGAAUGUUUGAAAAGUGAUAUACUAUUCUGAUAAAAAUGAAUAUCUGUAGAAGUUCUUUGUGUUUUCUUUCGUGUGUGUGUAAAAUAAAAAUGUAAAGAGACA